rfam:Dipodomys ordii contig_30823, whole genome shotgun sequence.
GGGAAUGUGGCUUAGUGGUAGAGUGUUUGCCUAACACGCAUGAAGCACUAGGUUCAAUUCCUCAGUACCA